rnacentral:rRNA from 1 species
UACGUAGGGGGCAAGCGUUAUCCGGAUUUACUGGGUGUAAAGGGGGCGCAGACGGCGAUGCAAGCCAGGAGUGAAAGCCCGGGGCCCAACCCCGGAACUGCUCUGGAAACUGUGCGGCUAGAGUACUGGAGGGGCAGGCGGAAUUCCUGGUGUAGCGGUGAAAUGCGUAGAUAUCAGGAGGAACACCGGCGGCGAAGGCGGCCUGCUGGACCGUGACUGACGUUGAGGCUCGAGAGCGUGGGGAGCAAACAGG